CUAGCGUUGCUCGGAAUCACUGGGCGUAAAGGGCGCGUAGGCGGGCCCUUAAGUCAGGGGUGAAAGCCCAAGGCUCAACCUUGGAAUUGCCUUUGAUACUGAGGGCCUUGAGACCGGAAGAGGUCGGCGGAACUGCGAGUGUAGAGGUGAAAUUCGUAGAUAUUCGCAAGAACACCAGUGGCGAAGGCGGCCGACUGGUCCGGUUCUGACGCUGAGGUGCGAAAGCGUGGGGAGCAAACAGG
rnacentral:rRNA from 1 species